UACGGAGGGGGCUAGCGUUGUUCGGAAUUACUGGGCGUAAAGCGCACGUAGGCGGCUUUGUAAGUUAGAGGUGAAAGCCUGGAGCUCAACUCCAGAAUUGCCUUUAAGACUGCAUCGCUUGAAUCCAGGAGAGGUGAGUGGAAUUCCGAGUGUAGAGGUGAAAUUCGUAGAUAUUCGGAAGAACACCAGUGGCGAAGGCGGCUCACUGGACUGGUAUUGACGCUGAGG
rnacentral:rRNA from 1 species